CCGUGCGAGGCUAAGCGGACGGUGGCGCUCCCCCCCGAGGUGUGUGUGCGUGUGCGUGUGUGUGCGUCCGUGUGGGUGCGUGCGGCGCCGGUGUUCGUGUGCCCAGGGGAUCCGUAGACGAGUGUGGUGGUGGUGGAGGCUGUGGUGGAGGCGGCGAUGGUGGCAGCUGUGGUGGUGGCGGCGGUGGUGGUGGUGAUGUGAUAAGUUGGAAGUCUCGUGUCCUUUUUUUUAACACCUGUGCCUCGACCCACCUUGACUCCUCUCGAUCCCUCCUUUCCUCCCACGUUUUCCUCUCCUUCUUCAUCUGCUUAUCUUCCUCUCCGUCUUUUCUCUCCCCCUUCUCUCUUCUCACUCAACUUCUCCUUUUUUUCCUCUACUUCCUCGUCCCCUCCACUCACCACCACGGCCACGCCUCCCCCCUUCUAUCCCUUCCUCCUCCCCCGCCACCACGCCCUCACCCCCCCCUCGCCGCCCCCAGAGUGCCAGUGCCAGGUGCCACAGGGGCCGCGUCGCUCUCGACAUGGGAUGACCACGAACAUGACAGAUGCUCCAACCUUCGGGCUGGCGUCAGGGGAAGCCCGGAGCGGGGCGGGGUGACGUGGCCUUUUUAAGGAGCCCCUGGGGUGUCCACGACCCCCAGGGGAAAAUCGGCGACACGCGCCCACGCCCCCCAUCCCAUCACACCCACCAUGAACAUCGCCAAGCUGCGACACACGCUGAUGCGGUCUCGGACGCCCACGGGCGCCGAGAUGAAGCAACAGAACAGCCUGGAGGUGCCGCCGCAGGUGCGCUCCGCCUCCUUCGACGAAAUGCAGCUCAAGCCGAGUCGCCGCGAAUCGUCGUCGUCGUCGUCGCCCGCAGAACGCCAGUCGUUUCUUCUGCGCGUGCCCUACCUGGGCCCAAAGCGCUCCAAGAGCUUCGACUCUGGCUGCGGCGACGUGGACGACACCGAUUCGUCGUCCCGAAAGAAGACCUCGCGGCCGUCGUCGCUGGACAAGAGCAGCCAGCAGUGCGUGCACUGCAUCUACCUGGAGGAGCUGGCGCGCCGCUUCGGAGGCGGACCGCGGCGCAUCUCCUACAACACCUCACUAGACAUGGUCAGCAGCCUCGACAGCUCGAGGGAGGAGGUCGAAGACGAGGACGACGACUGGGACGACGACGACAGCUCAAGCGACGAACUGCACGAGGUCAUAUGCGGCAUCAAGGUCACGCUGAGCCCCAAUUCGCCGUCGUCUGCGUCGCCAACGCAGGAGGAGGCGCCGCUGCCCGCCGCGCCGCCCCGCACGAAGCCCGCCUCGCCCAAGCUGGAGCGGCAGCCCGCCGUCUUCUGCAUGAACACCAGCGCCGAACUCAGCUCGCAGGAAAACAGCUUCGACCUGAGCGACGGCGGCUACAGCCACCACGGCUCGUACCUGUACCUGGGCUCCUCGAGCGAGUAUGGCGACGGGGAGCAGGGCGGCGAGGCGGCGGCGCCUGUGGGGGAGGUGGCGGUGCCCGGGGGGGAGCGCCCGCGGGAGGGAGUCACCGACGUGUUCCUGGAGGUGCCGGCCCGCAGGGAUCGGGCUGCGUCGCUGGACAUAUCCUUCGCCAGCUUCCCCAAGCCCGAGGAGCUCAGCAAGAGCUCUCCCGCCGGGCUCACCCGCUCAUGCUCCCUCGAGCCGCCCAAGGCGCUGCGCUCCAAAAGCAUCGACAUUGAGCUGCCGACGGAGGAGGACGGCGACUACAAGGUGGUGGUGACGUCGCCCAAGUCUGCCAAGAAGGCUAUCAACUCAGAGGUCGAGAUCCAGUGCGAGAAUGGCGAGCGUCGCGUCCUGCGCUCCACCUGCGACUGGAACGAAGGAGCCAUCAACGGCGACCACCUCUGGUGCCCCACCUCCGCCUCGGGGGACUUCUGCUACGUCGGCGAGGACUACUGCUGCAAAUCCGGGGCGCGCAUGAAGUGUUCGGCAUGCAAGAUCAUCGCUCACACAGGCUGCAUCGCUGCUCUGGUCGAGAAGGUCAAGUUUCCGUGCAAGCCGACCUUCCGUGAUGUGGGGCCGCGCCAGUACCGGGAGCAGACGGCCACGCACCACCACUGGGUCCAUCGGCGGAACCAGAAGGGAAAAUGCAAGCAGUGUGGCAAGGGUUUCCAGUCGAAGCUGCUUUUCGGCUCCAAGGAGAUCGUGGCCAUCAGUUGUUCGUGGUGCAAGUCCGCGUACCACAACAAGGAAAGCUGCUUCAACAUCAGCAAAAUUGAGGAGACAUGUUCGCUCGGCAUCCACCAAAGCAUCAUCGUUCCUCCCUCGUGGAUUGUGAAGCUCCCUCGUCGCGGCUCCUUCAAGUCCUCGCUUCGGAAGUCGCCCAAGAAACGUAGCUCGACCAAGAGAAAGAGCAGGGACAAGGUGAGUAAUGACAAGGACACGCGGCCGUUCGCAAUCAAGCCCAUUCCCAGCGUUAACAUCAAGCCCCUCAUCGUCUUCAUCAACCCCAAGAGUGGCGGCAACCAGGGAGCCAAGCUGAUGCAGAAGUUCCAGUGGCUGCUGAACCCUCGGCAGGUGUUCGAUCUCACUCAGGGUGGCCCCAAGGCAGGGCUCGAGAUGUUUCGCAAGGUGACUAACCUACGGGUGCUGGCCUGCGGCGGGGACGGCACGGUGGGCUGGGUGCUUUCUGUGCUCGACCAACUCAACUUCCAGCCGCCCCCUGCAGUCGCCGUCCUUCCUCUGGGCACUGGCAAUGACUUGGCGCGAGCACUGGGCUGGGGAGGCGGCUACACGGACGAGCCAAUCAGCAAGAUCCUGUGCAACAUAGCGGACGGGGAGGUUGUGCACCUGGACAGAUGGCGCGUUGAUGUGACAAAGAAUGAAGACUUUGAGCCCACAGAGGAAGGCCGAGACACGCUUCCUCUCAGCGUGGUCAACAAUUACUUCUCCUUCGGUGUUGACGCUCACAUCGCCCUGGAGUUCCAUGAAGCAAGAGAGGCCAACCCACAGAAGUUCAACUCUCGCCUGCGCAACAAGAUGUUCUAUGGGCAGGCCGGUGGGAAGGACCUCCUGCAGCGGAAAUGGAAGGACCUGUCGGACAACUGCACGCUGGAGUGUGACGGCAAGGACAUGACCCCCAUCCUGAAGGAGAACAAGGUGCAUGCAGUGGUCUUCCUCAACAUUCCCAGCUAUGGUUCUGGCACUCACCCUUGGAAUAGAAGCAGCGGCAUUGAACAGCAGACAGAUGACGGCAUUAUUGAAGUCAUUGGCCUCACCACAUACCAAAUGCCUUUGCUCCAGGCGGGAGGGCACGGCACCACCAUCUGUCAGUGCAAGCAGGCCAGAAUCAUCACCAAGAAGACAAUCCCCAUGCAAGUGGAUGGUGAGGCGGCGCGCGUCAACCCAAGCAUCAUCGAGCUCACCCACCUCAACAAGGCAUCGAUGGUGACCAAGAAGAAGGCGAAGUCUGUCACGAUACCCCACUUGGAGCAGCUUCGCCUACAGGUGUCUCGCAUCACCAUGUUCGACUACGAGCAGCAUCAUUACGACAAGGAGAAGCUCCGCGCCAAUUCCACCUCCAUCGGCCUCAUCAUGAUUGACCAAGAUGCCGACCUAGAGCAGGUUCGCAAGCACAUCAAUAGAAUGAUGGAAGAAACCACCAACCGGAGUCGCCCCAGCAAGCCUUUGUCCGAGAGCUGGUGCUUCGUGGAUUCCUGUACUGCCGAGAGGUUCUUCCGUAUUGACCGGGCACAGGAACACCUUCACUAUGUCACCGACAUCUGCACGGAAGAUCUCUUCGUGCUGGACCCAGAACUCACUGAUCCCACCAACGUCGGUGGAGUAAGAGGGGAUGUCAGCGUGGACAACGACAUUGACCACAGUGAGCGGCUCGCUAUGGUAAGCGACAGUGACUCAGGAGUGGGUGGGAACGAAGCCGACCACAGGAUCCCGCCCUCGGCCCUCACCACACGCCAGGACUCCUCCGAUGCAGGAGAGGAGGAGGUGGCCCACAGCUUGCAUGAUCGUGUCUUUGGUCCAGAGUACUUCCCUCCCAGUCACCUGCUAGAAAAGAACUCAGACGGAAUCAUCAAGGCAGCCAAGCAAGGAGACCUGAAGAUGCUGAAGGACCUCCACUCCCAGGGCUACUCACUUCUCUCCAUUGAUUCGCAUGGACAAACUGCACUACAUUUUGGAGCAAGACACGGCUUCAAGGACAUUGUGCGCUACCUCAUAGCCUCGGCUCCAGCAUCCAUCCUUGACAUGGUGGACAAUGAGAGGGGACAGACAGCGCUGCACCAGGCUGCCCAGAACCGUCGGCGCACUGUCUGCUGCAUGCUGGUUGCGGCUGGUGCCUCCCUCACCAUAAGGGACUUGCAGGGCAACACACCGCGAGCACUAGCACAGCAUGCAGAUGACCAGGAACUUGCUGCAUACUUGGAGAGCCAAGAGAAAUUCACCCAACCCAACAAUUGUAAUCACAAUUUCGUUGACUAAGCUAAACGACCCAUAACAUCCAAAGCUAAAAAAGGCAAACACUUCGCUAGGUAACGGCCAGGAGCAGUUUCAAAACAUGGUACACGAGGACCUUGAGACCACAGUAUGAUGGAGGCUGAUCCUGGCCCCCCCCCCCCAUGUCUCCUUUCACCUCACCCUCUACCCAAGGAGGGGCCACUCACUCCAGCGGCCAGCAGCCAACAGUAUCAGGGUGUGCUGGCCCAGGGAUACAGUGCAAAAGGGGAAACAGAAAUCCCUCAAAUUUCUCUAACGUGGCAGUGGGAUGAUGUGAGUACAUUCAUCUCUAGUCAGCCUCAAGAGCUCCGGCUAAAGCUUCUAAAACAUACGAGUGAAGUUGAGGGGAGAGUGUGGCCUUGGGAGUACAAGGGUCUGGCAACUGUCCUACAUGGGGAGAGUUUGUUGUAGUUGUGGAUUGAAAAUGUUGAACCUCAAAGACUGAUUGGCCGCUGGUCUUCCACUGUGAACGACUUUUGGACAGUGAACUGAAGUAGACCGGGCUGCCACCCUAAGUCAUUCCAGUCAAAUUUAAGAUAUUUAAUGUGUCUGUGUAUUGUGUGUGUAGAAUUUUUGAAGCCCUUAUAUCUUUAGUAUUUAAUACCCAUAAUCAGCAUACAGUAAUGUUCCCCUCCUCCCAUAAGCUUAGUGUCCUUUUGUGCUUCAAAUUCUAUGCUAUAAAAAAAAAAAUAUAUAAA